GUGUGAUUGUGUGUGGAUGGUGUUCAGCACAAAGGACAUGAGUGUUUGUGUUUGGAUGGUGGUCAACACCAAGGUCAGGUGUGUUUACUG
rnacentral:pre_miRNA from 1 species